rnacentral:rRNA from 1 species
AUACGUAGGGGGCGAGCGUUGUCCGGAAUGAUUGGGCGUAAAGGGCGCGUAGGCGGCGCGGUAAGUCAGAUGUGAAAUGCCGGGGCUCAACCCCGGAGCUGCAUUUGAAACUGUGGUUCUUGAGUGAGGUAGAGGUAAGCGGAAUUCCUAGUGUAGCGGUGAAAUGCUUAGAUAUGACGAAGAACUCCGAUCGCGAAGGCAGCCUGCCGGGCCGCGACUGACGCUGAAGCUCGAAGGUGCGGGUAUCGAACAGGAUUAGAUACCCUGGUAGUCCGCACAGUAAACGAUGGAUACUCGCUGUCGGCGAUAUACGGUCGGUGGCCAAGCGAAAGCGUUAAGUAUCCCACCUGGGGAGUACGCCGGCAACGGUGAAACUUAAAGGAAUUGACGGGG